rnacentral:rRNA from 1 species
GACGAGCCUCACAAACGUUAUUCGGAAUUACUGGGCUUAAAGGGUGCGUAGGCGGCGCGGAAAGUUGGGUGUGAAAUCCUUCGGCUCAACCGAGGAAUUGCGCUCAAAACUACCGUGCUCGAGGGAGAUAGAGGAAUGCGGAACUUAGGGUGGAGCGGUGAAAUGCGUUGAUAUCCUAGGGAACACCGGUGGCGAAAGCGGCAUUCUGGAUCUCAUCUGACGCUGAUGCACGAAAGCUAGGGUAGCAAACAGG